rnacentral:rRNA from 1 species
AGCAGCCGCGGUAAUUCCAGCUCCAAUAGCGUAUAUUAAAGUUGUUGCAGUUAAAAAGCUCGUAGUUGAAUUUCGGGAUCAGUUGGUCGGUCGUGCCUCGGUACGUACUGGUCAAAUUGAUUCCUACCUUCUGACGAACCACGAUGUCAUUAAUUUGGUGUCGCGGGAAAUCAGGACUGUUACUUUGAAAAAAUUAGAGUGUUUAAAGCAGGCUCGCGCUUGAAUACAUUAGCAUGGAAUAAUGAAAUAGGACGUUUGAUUCUAUUUUGUUGGUUUCUAGGAUCGACGUAAUGAUUAAUAGGGAUAGUUGGGGGCAUUAGUAUUCAAUUGUCAGAGGUGAAAUUCUUGGAUUUAUUGAAGACUAACUACUGCGAAAGCAUUUGCCAAGGAUGUUUUCAUUAAUCAAGAACGAAAGUUAGGGGAUCGAAGACGAUCAGAUACCGUCGUAGUCUUAACCAUAAACUAUAGCCGACUAGGGAUCGGAUGAUGUUAAUUUUUUAAUGACUCAUUUCGGCGCCUU